AGUGGGUUUCCAGAUGCCUGUGCAGAUGUGCUUUGGCUAGUAACUUCUGACUCGUGUAGGAAGCAUGGUAGAGACAGGAGGUGCUAUUCUUGAAGACAUUUACUGAGUCUUUAAAAAGGAAGCCUCAUUUUCAACAGUGAAAGCUGUAAAUUGAGUCCCAACCCCCUUUUUUUCCAAUGGAAUCUGGGAGGGUGUGGUCUCACCUCUGCAUGGCACCACCUUAUUCUCUUCCUGCCCAAACCCUGGAUGUGGCUUUUCUUAGAACAUUUGCAUUUUCAAAGGAAUGUCCCUUUUUAUACUUUUGAAAGAUACUAACGGAGAUGAAAUGGUUUACACAUGCUGGUAAUUUUCCAGAUGUCAGCUGUCAACAGGAAAGCAGUGACUGCCUGCUCGAUAACAGGCAGUUCCACAGAUGUCAACUGUGCAAUACAAAGUCACACUGCUCUCAUAAUUUUUAAUUAGCCUGAUAGAAAUCCCAUGUCAAUUUUAAGUUUGCCUCAACCUAUGUAAGGACAAAUAGAGACAGCUUAGAAUAGUGCGCUUUUGUCCCGUGGAGAAGAUCUAAACCAUGGGACAGUAGACAAUACUAUCUGACAGGCACCAAGGCUGCACCCAGUAGUGUCUAUCUUUCAUCCAGAUCCUUUUACCUUAAACUAUAAAGUUGGAAAGAUGCCAGGACUUCAUUUCAGAGUGGUAGAGGGCUCCUAAGUCCUUAACUCCUACCGUGUUCUUUUAAAACUGUGCCUUUUUGAAAGAGAUUGGGACUAUCUUGCAUCAUUGGGAUGUAGAGCAUCUAGGGGCCAGGAUGAGGGGGCAGAGCCACCCUAACGGAGGGACAAUGGAACCUGCAUUUGGUUAGAGUCUGAUGAUUCACAUUGCUGGUCACUAGCUUUUACAUGUUGCCUGUCUGGCUGUCCAGCUGUCCCUCUCGAGGUUCCUUGGCUGUUGGGCUUAUCCCUGUUUCUAUGUGAGCAUCUUUUUGACAAUGGAUUGUCUAAAAUAGAACACUGUGGUAAUGCAUGGCACCACUUUUUAGCAUCUGUCCUGCCUCCUCACAGAAGGUAGUGAAAGAAUGCCUGAAGUUGUCCCCGGCCUGGCAGGGACAGUGGGUAUGCGUGGCCUCGACAGUGGUCUGGUGGAAGCCAGGUUUCCUGUCCUCCAAAGAGAGAGGACAAGAAGGAAAGGUCACCUUGUACUAUGUGGUUGGGUUUUGUUUUGUUUCUUUUCUAUUUUUGGUCCUAAGAGACUAUAAAUCGUAAUGCCCCAAGAGCAAACCCGGGACUGGGAGUGUUUAUCAUCCAUCUCCUGACCAUGUGAACAGCAAAUUUGUCAUUUGGAAAGCUAGCCUAUUUCAGUAGUACAAUUACUUAACUUCAAAUGCAAGCAAACACUAAAUGUCAGAUUUUUUUAACAACAAAAAAUGGUCUCUUAGCAUUACACAUUCCAAGUUCUAAACAUAUGAUUCAUGUUUUGUACUUUGAACAAGAAUAGCAAAAUCUAUUUUCUGUAUGAGGGGGGGAAAACUAAAUAUCAGCCAUGGGAUUUUUUUUAAACCAAAGAAGCAGUGGCUUUUAACUUCUGCCAGCCCCAUCUUCUUCCCUACACUAUUGAGCCCCGCUGGGUUACACUCAUCGGCUUACUCAUCGGAACAGCACCUCACAGGAAUACGGAGUCAGCGUUUACAGAAGAACCCUCACUAGUUUCUGAUACGAUCAAGGCCAGGGGCGGGGCAUAAUACAGAAAGGAGGAAGAGGAAGGGAAAGAAGGAAGGGACCACUGUCAUAGCUGAGUAGUAGUUUCUGUGAAUGGUAGCAUAGCUCAGAGGUUCUGAGCUUGUCCUGAGCCAUCACUGGACAUGCUGGCUUUGUGUAAGUUCUUCUUAAAUCCACUUGACAUCACGACAUUCUUUCCCUUGGCAGCGGGUCCUUCCUACGUAAAACAUCAGAACAGGUUGUUUAUCAGAAGAUACCAAGAUCCAUAAUGUAUCAGCCAGGUUUAAAAACUCUUGACAUGUUUAAUGAUGAACUCACAGGUCAACCAGGCUUUCUGACGUCAGUCCCCAAAACCCAUCUGUAGAUCAGAACCUUGCCGAAACCUCUGUGCACUAGGCGCUACUUAGGGCGUUUCAUUUCUACUGUCCAUACUUGUCUCUACGAGACAUGAGAAAGUGCAAGGCUGCGAGAGGGGGUUGGGUAGAGCUCGGAGCAGGUACAUGACAUGUCAUUUGGUCCCUUUGAUGUGCUGGGUAGAGUUGGCGUUGUAGAGACCGCUGUGUUCAUGCAAUCACUAAUUCUAUGUUGUAUACAAAUAAACAGCUAAAAGAGAAAAAGUAAACCCAUUAAAGCUAUUAAACUAUAUGUUCCUACU
rnacentral:lncRNA from 1 species